GGCCACGGUGCCCUAAUGGUAGGGUUUCGGCUUGGUGGGCCGAAGGUUCCAGGUUCGAAACCUGAUUCCA